rnacentral:rRNA from 1 species
AUCCUGGCUUAGGAUGAACGCUAGCUACAGGCUAACACAUGCAAGUCGAGGGGCAGCAUUGGAGUAGCAAUACUCAGAUGGCGACCGGCGCACGGGUGAGUAACACGUAUCCAACCUGCCGCUUACUCGGGGAUAGCCUUUCGAAAGAAAGAUUAAUACCCGAUGGUAUAAAGAGUUCGCAUGUUCUCUUUAUUAAAGAAUUUCGGUAAGCGAUGGGGAUGCGUUCCAUUAGAUUGUUGGCGGGGUAACGGCCCACCAAGUCUACGAUGGAUAGGGGUUCUGAGAGGAAGGUCCCCCACAUUGGAACUGAGACACGGUCCAAACUCCUACGGGAGGCAGCAGUGAGGAAUAUUGGUCAAUGGACGAGAGUCUGAACCAGCCAAGUAGCGUGAAGGAUGACUGCCCUAUGGGUUGUAAACUUCUUUUAUAAGGGAAUAAAGUGAGGGACGUGUCCCUUUUUGUAUGUACCUUAUGAAUAAGGAUCGGCUAACUCCGUGCCAGCAGCUGC